ensembl:lncRNA
UGCAUAGCAUUGCCUGGGAUUCCCUGACACAGAAAGCAGCUCCAUGUAAGAGCACAGGCUCUACAUGAUCCAUGGAAAACAGUCCCACUUGCUGACAGGAGAGUGAAAGUAAGCUAGAUGCUGCAUUGACUUAUGCAAAAAACUAAAACAUGGGACAAAAGGACAGAAAGCGACCUGGAAACACAGUCUGUCUAACGCUGAGGCAACCUUGGCAGUGAAAAGGCUGCACAUCAUUGGUGAGGGAUGAAAGACAAACUGGACUGGAACCCUGAAUGGAACCUUGGACUCUUGGAACCGUGCAUUAUUGGAUAUCAAAAGUGCAAUGCUGGCGCCUUGAUCUACAGGAACAGAAACAAGACUUGCCUGGCACAUUAACUCUCAAAAAAAAAAAACUAUCUCAACUGAUCAACACCCUGGAAUUCACCAGGAGCUUCCUGGAAAGGAGAAUUUUAAGAACAAGAACAGAAAAAAGCCCGGUAAAAGCUGUAACUGGCUCUGCCUGUCUGUGCUAUGACAGCCAACAAUAUCACCUGCUGAUGAUUUACAGAUUCCUGGGAGAUGUGUUGUUGAGUCUCAAAGAACUGGAACAAGAACAACUCGCUCAAAUUGCUUCCCGUGAAACAGCAUAACGUAUCCACCCGCUUCAUACUCUCCUAAUUUAGGACACGUGUAGUCUGUAAUGAUGAACUGGCCAACUGAUUAUGUUGCUGUAAAUCUCGUUCCCCACCUUACAAAACACCCCUGACUGACCCCUUUUUCAUGAUAGCUCAGUGCAGCAUUUCCUGUCCACUUCUUGAGAGGGAGAAAAUCAGCACCAGCCACUUGCAAAAGCACUUCUCAAGAGUGAAAAAUGCAACAUUUUGUUGUUUUUGUUUCACUGGGCAGCCUUUUCAAGUUCUGUGACCCACUUUUGCUUCCCUUUAAAUUGUGACCAGUAUUUAUUUAUCCCUCUUUGAACACAAUAACUUAAUUAAGAAACUAAUCAGCAGUGUUGAACUGAUCUUUCAACUCAGCCCUGUCACUGAAGGAAAUUUAUGAAUGCAUAAUACAAGAAAGAUCCUAUUAUCUAAAAAGCUUUCUACUAAAAGCAUUUGGCAUCUAAAAAGUAAGACUUGAAAUUCUGUGCUAAAUUUAUAAUGUAAAUAUGUGAACAUUAUUUAUAGAGUCUGAAAUGCACCCCAAGUGAAUCUAACAAUUUUUUUCUAGAUUUUUUAUUAAAAAUAAAAUUGUCACAAGUUUAAAGGAUUG